UUUUAUUUCUCCUUCAAAUAAGUUACUGAUCAUACUGUACACGUCUAUGCAUCUAUAUACUUAUUACAUAAACCUCAAAGGAAGCUGUAUGCCAAUUCCUGUGCAAAAACGAUCCUCUGCUGCCCUCUUGUGGCCGUUCUAGGAAUAACACCUUGUGCUUCUGUCCGUGGUGCUGAAAUCCCAGGUAAUGCCCCGGGAACACGACAAGAAAUUAUAAGGAAUAACAAAACAAAAACAAAACAAAAAAAGCACACACACAAAAUCACCGAGCCUGUACAUGGCUGCAAUCAUUCCUUCCCUGGAUGGACUGAAGUCACGGGUUUGGAUUUUGCACCUCUUCCCGCCCCAGCCCCAGGGAGGUCUUGGCUAAUGCACUGAUAUCGUGAGUGAACCUGUGCGUUCACGAUGUCAGCCUGAAACCUAGAGGCUGCCAUUCUUGAGGCAGCCAGGACUUUGGAGGCCGCCGUCCUUGAGGCAGCCAGUAACCUGAAGUCCGCUCUGAUUAUGGCAGUCCUUUCCCCGGAGGCCGCCAUUACUGAGGCAGGCAGUCCGUACAGCGAGGUGUGGAGUAUCGCGAGACCGGGCGACUUCGCCAGAGUCCGCUGUUACUGAGGCAUUCGUUACCCUGGAGGCCGUCAUUACUGAGGCCACCCAUACAGCGCAGGCCUCUGCGAACGAGGCAGCCUGUACGGGACACGUAGCCUUUGCUGAGGCAGCCAGCAACCUGCAGCCGCCUUUACUAAGGCAGCCAGUACCUUGGAAGCCGCCGUCCUUGUAACCUGGAGUCCGCUAUGAUUGUGGCAUUCCGUAACCUGGAGGCUGCCCUUACUGAGGCUGCCCGUACUGAGGAGGCCUUCGCUAAUGAGUCAGGCAGUAUGGGAUAGGUCGCCUUUACUGAAGUUAUUUAUUGCUAGCUACUAGGUUACUGGUUACUAGUUACUGGGUUACUGGUUA